AUUGAACGCUGGCGGCAUGCCUUACACAUGCAAGUCGAACGGCAGCGGACCUUCGGGUGCCGGCGAGUGGCGAACGGGUGAGUAAUAUAUCGGAACGUACCUUUCAGUGGGGGAUAACGUAGCGAAAGUUACGCUAAUACCGCAUAUUCUGUGAGCAGGAAAGCAGGGGAUCGCAAGACCUUGCGCUGAUUGAGCGGCCGAUAUCAGAUUAGCUAGUUGGUGAGGUAAAGGCUCACCAAGGCGACGAUCUGUAGCGGGUCUGAGAGGAUGAUCCGCCACACUGGAACUGAGACACGGUCCAGACUCCUACGGGAGGCAGCAGUGGGGAAUUUUGGACAAUGGGCGCAAGCCUGGUCCAGCCAUGCCGCGUGAGUGAAGAAGGCCUCGGUUGUAAGACGUCUGUGGG
rnacentral:rRNA from 1 species